ACGGGGAGCAGCCCAGAGCCUGAAUCAGUAUGUGUGUUAGUGGAAGCGUCUGGAAAGGCGCGCGAUACAGGGUGACAGCCCCGUACACAAAAAUGCACAUGCUGUGAGCUCGAUGAGUAGGGCGGGACACGUGGUAUCCUGUCUGAAUAUGGGGGGACCAUCCUCCAAGGCUAAAUACUCCUGACUGACCGAUAGUGAACCAGUACCGUGAGGGAAAGGCGAAAAGAACCCCGGCGAGGGGAGUGAAAAAGAACCUGAAACCGUGUACGUACAAGCAGUGGGAGCACGCUUAGGCGUGUGACUGCGUACCUUUUGUAUAAUGGGUCAGCGACUUAUAUUCUGUAGCAAGGUUAACCGAAUAGGGGAGCCGAAGGGAAACCGAGUCUUAACUGGGCGUUAAGUUGCAGGGUAUAGACCCGAAACCCGGUGAUCUAGCCAUGGGCAGGUUGAAGGUUGGGUAACACUAACUGGAGGACCGAACCGACUAAUGUUGAAAAAUUAGCGGAUGACUUGUGGCUGGGGGUGAAAGGCCAAUCAAACCGGGAGAUAGCUGGUUCUCCCCGAAAGCUAUUUAGGUAGCGCCUCGUGAAUUCAUCUCCGGGGGUAGAGCACUGUUUCGGCAAGGGGGUCAUCCCGACUUACCAACCCGAUGCAAACUGCGAAUACCGGAGAAUGUUAUCACGGGAGACACACGGCGGGUGCUAACGUCCGUCGUGAAGAGGGAAACAACCCAGACCGCCAGCUAAGGUCCCAAAGUCAUGGUUAAGUGGGAAACGAUGUGGGAAGGCCCAGACAGCCAGGAUGUUGGCUUAGAAGCAGCCAUCAUUUAAAGAAAGCGUAAUAGCUCACUGGUCGAGUCGGCCUGCGCGGAAGAUGUAACGGGGCUAAACCAUGCAC
rnacentral:rRNA from 1 species